rnacentral:rRNA from 1 species
AGAGUUUGAUCCUGGCUCAGGAUGAACGCUGGCGGCGUGCCUAAUACAUGCAAGUCGAGCGAACAGAUAAGGAGCUUGCUCCUUUGACGUUAGCGGCGGACGGGUGAGUAACACGUGGGUAACCUACCUAUAAGACUGGAAUAACUCCGGGAAACCGGGGCUAAUGCCGGAUAAUAUUUAGAACCGCAUGGUUCUAAAGUGAAAGAUGGUUUUACUAUCACUUAUAGAUGGACCCGCGCCGUAUUAGCUAGUUGGUGGGGUAAUGGCUUACCAAGGCAACGAUACGUAGCCGACCUGAGAGGGUGAUCGGCCACACUGGAACUGAGACACGGUCCAGACUCCUACGGGAGGCAGCAGUAGGGAAUCUUCCGCAAUGGGCGAAAGCCUGACGGAGCAACGCCGCGUGAGUGAUGGAGGUCUUCGGAUCGUAAAACUCUGUUAUUAGGGAAGAACAAAUGUGUAAGUAACUGUGCACGUCUUGACGGUACCUAAUCAGAAAGCCACGGCUAACUACGUG